rnacentral:rRNA from 1 species
UACAGAGGGGGCGAGCGUUGUUCGGAAUUACUGGGCGUAAAGGGCGCGUAGGUGGCCUGUUAAGUCGAACGUGAAAUCCCCAGGCUCAACCUGGGAACUGCGUCCGAUACUGGAUGGCUUGAAUCCGGGAGAGGGAUGCAGAAUUCCAGGUGUAGCGGUGAAAUGCGUAGAUAUCUGGAGGAAUACCGGUGGCGAAGGCGGCAUCCUGGACCGGCAUUGACGCUGAGGAGCGAAAGCCAGGGGAGCAAACGGG